rnacentral:misc_RNA from 1 species
UGCAUAGGAGAGGGGUAGGUAGGGGGCGGGGGUCCGGUCCUUACAUUGCACUACAUGGCUGUGUCACUAUUUCUUUCUUUAUCAUCUCAUGGCGUGUCAAACUGUCAGCAAAAGUUAGCAGUUUGUCGAGUAUACUCUUCUUCUACUACGACACUGUUUUCCCGACCUUUCCUGCUUGGUUGCAUGCGUUCAGUUGUGCUAUUGUAUUUAUGAAUAACAAACAUAACACAUGCCCGAGUAGAGAGAUCUCGAGCACUGCCUGCCACGGCAAAUAUCGAUCGAGAGCCACACAUUCGAGGAGGAAGGAAGAACACAAGCAGUACGUAAAGAGCCACACAUGGCUGGCCCUAUCUAUCGCCAUUGCACAUCGCGAACGGCGAAGCAGCUCAUCGCGUGCGCUGCGCGUUAGUCAGUCUCUCCAUCGAUCAGUUGCCGCCGCUGCAGAGGUCCAGCAGCUUCUUCCUGCCCUCCACCACCUCGUCGAACAGGUCGUCGAUGAGCGCCACCACGUCGUCGCACGCGGCCCGGAGCGCGCCGGCGCGGAGCCCCACCUCCGCCGCGGCCGCCGCCACGUCGCCGCCGCGCUCCACGGCCUCCUUGGCCUCCUCCACCGCCGCCCGCGCGCGCCGGAACUCGUGCAUCAUCACCCCGCCGCCGCCGCCACCGCCGCCGGCGGCCGCGGCCACGGACCUGCCGGCCUCCGCCGCCGCGCGCUGCUGCGCCCGGGACAGCGCCGUCGCGAACGCGGCGCCGAAGUAGGCGGCGCAGUCCCCGGCGCCCGCGUUGGGGGCGGGCCAGUAGUGGAGCACGCCCCACGAGAGCAGCGUCAGCAGGAACGAGGUCAGCAUCCGGGUGGCGCAGAGCACGCCGCGGAAGCCGUUGAAGCCGCCCAGCUUGGCGUCGGCGGGGACGCCCUCGCUCAGGCGCAGCGCUAGCGCCUCCGCGCGCGUCUCCACCAGCGCGCGGUUCUCCUCCUUCACCGCCAUGGCCUCGCGCCUGCACACGCUGAUCGCACGCGCCACCUGCCGUAGUGCCAUGCCAUGCCAUGCCAGUCGCGUUGGUUCGUUGCUAUACCACUUCAUAGUUCAUAUUGAAGUGUACUUACCUGUCUCGAGAGGUGGGGGCUCGACGAGGCCCCCUGCAUGAGGAGCGAGGCGAGCUGGGCGGCGCUUCCGGCGUACCCCUCGACGGCAGCGGCGCCGAGCCGCAGCGCGCGGCACGCGUCGCAGAGCCUGGACGCCUCGUCCAUGUACUCGUCCAGCCAGGCCGCGCCCCCCGGGAGGUGGAGCGACGCGACGAGGCGGGCCAGGCCCGCGUGCGCGGCGCGGAGCAGCGCCAGCGCGGCCCGGAGCGUGGGCAGCGACAGGAACGACGACGAGGGAGGAGAGGACGCCGCCAGCGCCCGGUCCAGGUCGUCGAGUCCGCGCGCCAGCGUCGCGUAGAAGGCCGCCGCCGUCGACGAGGACGGUGGCUGCUUGACGCUCAUGGCCGGGCCGAUCGGCGGGCCUAGACUCGCUCCCUCGCUUGGCUGCUGGCUCCGAAGGAGGACCGACAGACAGUGCUAGCUGUGUGAUAGAUAAUGUCGCGAGCGCGACGGUGCAACCGUGCGGAUGGACGGAUGGGUGGCCUGGACGACUGGAGCGACGGCGACCUUGUUCUUACUCGAUGGGAAGGGAACCGAAGCCAAGCUAGCAAGGCGAGAAGUGACAGUGACGGCGGGGCCGUAAGCUAGCUAGCUAGCUAGGUGGAUAGGAUAGCUAGUCACGAACGACGACGACGCGAGGGAUCGGAAGUGCAGUGAAGGAAGAAGGAACACGUACCAUACAACAGGCAAGCAAGCAGUGGCUAGCUCUCGCGACCGGUCGGCGUCGGCCCAUCUCUCUCAACUCUCAGCUCAAGUGCAUGCGUGCUGUCUGCUUGGCGCGCGCCAUGGCUGCUACUUGCUACUAGCUAGGCAGCCGUUGGUGGAGUGCAGGAUGGAGAUGGCUAGGUGUUUGGACUUGGAGGGCAAUCUUCGCUGCGUCUUUAUAUAGCUAGGGGCCGCCAGCUAGCCAGUCGGUGACGCGCCGCCUACACUACACGCGCUGAUAGAGGCUAGAGCCAGCAGUAGCAGCAGGCCAGAGCAGCACGAGGGAUGACGAUGGAUCCAUCGUUGAUGCAGCCAGCAGCUAAGGGCUCGUUCGGUUGUACCGAAAUAAGUCAGGAUUCAUUCUAGGUUAUAAAAAUCUAUAUAAAUUAGAGAAGUAAUCCGACUAGGAAUUAAUCCGGAGCUCCAAUCCGAAACAACCGAACAGGGCCUAAGAGAGAACGGAACGGGGUCAGUCACGGGCGGUUUACCACCACCACCGUUCCGGCGAGGCGAUGGCCUCAUCUCAUAUGACAGGAUUGGAAUUAAGGUGUGGGGAGUUGACUCGGUUGGUUGCCUAGCUGCUACGUGAGUGAUCGAUCCGGUAAAAUCUAUCCACCGUCCGACCGGGUCUUUUUCUCCUUUUCCAAUACCGCUAAGGUCUUGUUCGUUUGUGUCGGAUUGGUGGGUCGGAACGAUUCCGAGCCGGAUUGCUUCUAUAAUUUAUAUAAACUUUGAUUAGCCGAAAUAAUUCCGGGUGCAAUCCGAUGUAAACGAAUAGGGCCUAACUCCUUUUCGCAAG